AUGCCAUCCAAGACCUAAGUCCUAGAAUUGGGGGCCCCAAGAGCCUGUUUGGUGCUCUAACCUGCUAUGGCUGAGCUGGUAUCUAAGGUGCAAGACAAAGUCCCCUUUACUUUUCCCUCUGCUUUCUCAAUCAGGAGCCUCACCCUUUAGACACCACAGUUAGGAAUAUGCUGAGACUCAUUUGUGGCUGGGCACAGAAGGCACAAGGUUCUCUUCAUCUUACCGCCACUUUCAGGGGAUGGAGGAGGAGGUGGUGUCAGUAAUCCAAGACUGUGCAUUCUACCUCUUCAUUGCCUUUUUUAGCGAUAUGAAGUUAAAAGCAGUAUGUUCCCAGUUCUAACAGUUCUAACAGAAGAUUCUAGGAAAGCCUGAUACUGCCAUCAAUACAGGACUCCCAGAUGGACACAACUGUUAGUAUUUGUGUAUAUGUAUACAAUUAGUGGAGCUGAUACUCCUAUUCUGAAAAAGUUCUAAACACAAGAAUAAAAUGUAUUAAAAAGA